rnacentral:rRNA from 1 species
UUCCGGUUGAUCCUGCCGGACCCCACUGCUAUCGAGAUGGGACUAAGGUAUGCUAGUCGAACGACCAGAACUAUGUCUGGGAGUGGCACACUGCUCAGUAACACGUAGCUAACCUACCCUUAGGACGUGGAUACCCCCGAGAAAUUGGGGUUAAUCCGCGAUAGAUGUAAUGUCCUGGAAUGGUAUUACGUCUAAAGGUAUUUCAUACGUGUUUGAAAUAUGCCUAAGGAUGGGGCUGCGGCCGAUCAGGCUGUUGGUGAGGUAAUGGCUCACCAAACCUUUGACCGGUACGGGCCAUGAGAGUGGUAGCCCGGAGAUGGACACUGAGACAAGGGUCCAGGCCCUAAGGGGCGCAGCAACCGCGAAACCUCCACAAUGCACUCACGUGCGAUGGGGCUAUCUCGAGUGCCACCUGAUGAAGGUGGCUUUUCCUUGGUCUUCAAAGCCUUGGGAAUAAGAGGGGGGCAAGACUGGUGUCAGCCGCCGCGGUAACACCAGCCCCUCGAGUGGUGGGGAUGAUUAUUUGGCCUAAAGCGUCCGUAGCCGGCCGUGAAAGUCUUCCGUUAAAUCCAGCGUCUCAAGCGUUGGACCGCGGGAGAUACUACAUGGCUAGAGAGUGGGAGAGGUCAGCGGUAUUCUGGGGGUAGGGGCGAAAUCCUUUGAUCCCCGGAGGACCACCAGUGGCGAAGGCUGCUGACUAGAACACGUCUGACGGUCAGGGACGAAAGCUGGGGUAGCGAACCGGAUUAGAUACCCGGGUAGUCCCAGCCGUAAACGAUGCAUGCUAGGUGUUGGGUU